UACGAAGGGGGCUAGCGUUGCUCGGAAUCACUGGGCGUAAAGCGCACGUAGGCGGAUUGCUAAGUCAGGGGUGAAAUCCUGGAGCUCAACUCCAGAACUGCCCUUGAUACUGGCGGUCUCGAGUCCGGGAGAGGUGAGUGGAACUGCGAGUGUAGAGGUGAAAUUCGUAGAUAUUCGCAAGAACACCAGUGGCGAAGGCGGCUCACUGGCCCGGUACUGACGCUGAGGUGCGAAAGCGUGGGGAGCAAACAGGAGUUAGAAA
rnacentral:rRNA from 1 species